ACCAGACUCCUACGGGAGGCAGCAGUGGGGGAUAUUGCACAAUGGGGGGAACCCUGAUGCAGCGACGCCGCGUGGGUGAAGGAGCGUUUCGGCGCGUAAAGCCCUCUCGGCAGGGAAGAAGGAGGACGGUACCUGACUAAGAAGCCCCGGCUAACUACGUGCCAGCAGCCGCGGUAAUACGUAGGGGGCAAGCGUUAUCCGGAUUUACUGGGUGUAAAGGGAGCGUAGGCGGCUGUGUAAGCCAGAAGUGAAAGCCCGGGGCUCAACUCCGGGACUGCUUUUGGAACUACAUGGCUUGAUUGCAGGAGAGGCAAGUGGAAUUCCUAGUGUAGCGGUGAAAUGCGUAGAUAUUAGGAGGAACACCAGUGGCGAAGGCGGCUUGCUGGACUGUAAAUGACGCUGAGGCUCGAAAGCGUGGGGAGCAAACUGGAUUAGAUACCCGGGUAC
rnacentral:rRNA from 1 species